UGCCCCAUGGCUGAGUUGGUUACAGCGUCCGACUGUUAAGAGCAAUCGGAAGGUCGAGAGUUCGAGCCUCUCUGGGGCAG